UACAGAGGGGGCAAGCGUUAUUCGGAAUUAUUGGGCGUAAAGGGCGCGUAGGCGGCUUGGCAAGUGGAAGGUGAAAUCCCUCGGCUUAACCGAGGAACUGCCCUCCAAACUGCUUGGCUUGAGACCGGGAGAGGUGAGUGGAAUUCCCAGUGUAGCGGUGAAAUGCGUAGAUAUUGGGAGGAACACCAGUGGCGAAGGCGGCUCACUGGACCGGUACUGACGCUGAGACGCGAAAGCGUGGGGAGCAAACAGG
rnacentral:rRNA from 1 species